AACGAACGCUGGCGGCAGGCUUAACACAUGCAAGUCGAGCGCCCCGCCAGGGGAGCGGCAGACGGGUGAGUAACGCGUGGGAACGUACCUUUUGGUUCGGAACAACUCCGGGAAACUGGAGCUAAUACCGGAUAAGCCCUAACGGGGAAAGAUUUAUCGCCGAAAGAUCGGCCCGCGUCUGAUUAGCUAGUUGGUGAGGUAACGGCUCACCAAGGCGACGAUCAGUAGCUGGUCUGAGAGGAUGAUCAGCCACACUGGGACUGAGACACGGCCCAGACUCCUACGGGAGGCAGCAGUGGGGAAUAUUGGACAAUGGGCGCAAGCCUGAUCCAGCCAUGCCGCGUGAGUGAUGAAGGCCUUAGGGUUGUAAGGCUCUUUUGUCCGGGAAGAUAAUGACUGUACCGGAAGAAUAAGCCCCGGCUAACUUCGUG
rnacentral:rRNA from 1 species